rfam:Hordeum vulgare subsp. vulgare, WGS project CAJW01000000 data, contig: morex_contig_1521922
GGGUCGCCGCGUGCCGGCCGGGGGACGGACCGGGAAUCGCCCCUUCGGGAGCUUUCCCCGAGCAGUGAACAGUCGACUCAGAACUGGUACGGACAAGGGGAAUCCGACUGUUUAAUUAAAACAAAGCAUUGCGAUGGUCCUCGCGGAUGCUGACGCAAUGUGAUUUCUGCCCAGUGCUCUGAAUAUGUCAAAGAGUGAAGAAUUCCAACCAAGCG